AGAGAGCGAGAGAGAGAGAGAGAGAGAGACAGGUGAAGAAAGAUGAUUUACCGGAGCUGGUCUCUGAUGUCGUCCACGGUGGUUAUAUGGGGAAGCGUCGCCGCUGCUGGCCUCGCCGGGAUUUUCGUCUUCGGUGGCAAGGAGAAGUUUCAAGAAUAUCUGAACCGCGAGGGUGCAAGGCUUCGACAGCAAGAUAGGGCCAAGAUUGAAGCAAACAGAGCCUAAUGGAGUUAGAACCCAAAUGAAGCUAAGAUGAAUCGCAUUCCUAGCCGUCUUUAUUUCCCGUACUGUUGCCGUUUCAGGUCCAAUAAAUGUUGUCGAUCGUCACAAACUUCCACUGCAAUUUGGUCCCCUGGUGUGGUCCAAUCCAAAUAAAACCAAUAUAAUACAAUUUGAAACUUCUGAUGCCUCGAACUGCGUGCCAAAUUUUGGUAGUUUGAUUUUUAUUUUUUUUAUUGUUUCUAAGCAAAUUAUUUAUGUUUAAUAUGGUGAUUGGGGUGGCACCGUGAAUUAAAGAAAAGAAACAAUGAGAAUCCUGGAAUAAUAUAACUCUAGUUGUGAGUCCUUUUA